rnacentral:rRNA from 1 species
GCUACGGGAGGCAGCAGGGAGGAAUAGUGGGCAAUGGACGCAAGUCUGAACCAGCCAUGCCGAGGGCAGGAAGACGGCGCUAUGAGUUGUAAACUGCUUUUGUACGAGGGUAAACGCAGAUACGCGUAUCUGUCUGAAAGUAUCGUACGAAUAAGGAUCGGCUAACUCCGUGCCAGCAGCCGCGGUAAUACGGAGGAUUCAAGCGUUAUCCGGCUUUAUUGGGUUUAAAGGGUGCGUCGGCUGUCGGAUAAGUUAGAGGUGAAAACCCGAGGCUCAACUUCGGACUUGCCUCUGAUACUGUUCGGCUAGAGCGUAGUUGCGGUAGGCGGCAUGUUUGGUGUAGCGGU